UUUUCAGCACAGAGAGUAAAUGGGACGCAUUUAUCGGUAUGUAAGCACCUGUAAGCGUUUGUAUUUCUGUAAAAGAAAGAAGGUGUAUUGCCAGCGGGUGGAUCGUUGAAAAUUGAAAUAGAUUUUUGAUCACAACGUGCUCGAAGCUAAUUAGGUUUAACCGAUGCAAGCGGCUUCUUCAGUGGCACGCGUUCAAGGGCCAUGAAAAUACACUUUUUAUAGAUGAAAAAAUGGUCACUGUAGAAGAAGUUCCUUAUGAGCAAAACGACAAAAUACAAAAAACUUCCAAAGAUGCAAAAUAGGUUAUUCCAUGGGCUCAAAGUGCACACCAUUCAGCUGCUGUAAUGGUUUAAUGAAGAGUCUGCUAUAAAGGCGUUACACCUCUUCACUACUGUGAAAAAAGAAUUUAAACUGGGGCAAAAGUGUACCAGCAGGAUGUUUUAGAAAGCGUGGUAAAGCAGUGAUUGAAGAACUGUCGACUAUCCCACAAAAAUUUGGAGAGUCUCAAAAAAUCGUGCGUCCAGCAGCGUCGGACAAUACCAAUAGAAACUGUACGUGCUGCUUUAGACAAAUGGCUGAACCGUUCGAGGGUUAUGUGAAAGCAAAAGUUGGAUUUUUAUAACGGCCUGAACUUGUAACAGCACUUAUGGUAGGACUAAGUACUUGUAGUUGUAUUUAGAAAUGCACCUGUGAUGGGUAGUGUAGCUUACGUGAAGCCAAAAUCAACCCUUUUUUAUUGUUUUUUAAAAUUUAGAGCUAAGCGAGACCUUUUUUCAUAAAUAAUUACUUCUACCUUACUAAUUUGUAUACAUUGGAGAAAAAAAAAUUGUGUAAGCGAAGUUCAUCUGACACAAUGGAAAGUUCGAAGUAAUUAAUUCAAAUAAUGCUUAAUAAAGGUGUUCGUCCACCUAUAAAUUGAUAUUCACAAAAAUGUAUACCAUUAAAUCCAAAUAUGUGCAUACAAUUUAUAUGUAUAUGUAGUUGGGAACUAUAGUGAAAUUUUAAAUUAAAUCUGAAACGCAAAAGUAGUUUCAAUAUAAGCAAAUACAUAUGUAUACAUAUAUGUAUGUGACUAUAAAAAAUGCACUCUAAACUGACCCUGACCAUGACAUGUCUAUAUACAUAACCAACUAUCUACAAAAGCUCAGCACACUUCUGCAUUUCUAAUGUUUUUAUACUUAUGUAAAUUCCUAGAAUUAUUAGCGAAAAAUUAUACAAACUCACUCUGCAUUAUAUCAGAAUUUUUUAGGAGACUAUCGGCGAAGCAAAGCAAAUGAUUUGCAAAAAAAAUCAAAAAUACUGAUAUUGUAUAUAUACUUUUAAAGAUAUAUAGUAUAGAUAUAGUAGAAGAAACAUAUACGAUUGUAUGCAGGAUUGAUUUAUAUGAUUUUUAAGCAUUGACGUCAUCAUAAAGGAACAGAAAAAUCGGGAGCACACAUCAUCCACGAAACUUAGAUAAAUAUAAGAGUAUUUUUAAAACAUUGCAGUGUUUACAUUUUUUUAAUUUUGCUGCUCGUGAUUUGUAUAUACACACAUACAAAGGCUUCUUCUAGUAGGUUAUAAUUAUUAACUGAAAGUCAAUAUUAGUUUUUUGUGAAAUAAAUUUCUAAAGUAACGCCAAGAAAGUGUUUUGUAAACAUAUUUACCUAAAAGAUGAAAUUACUAGAUAUUAAGAGUUGUUCCAAUAGUUUUCAAUAAUAAUAUUGAAAUAAAGAAAUAUAUAAUUCAUAUUAUUUUAACUAAGCUUUAAGAUAAUAAAAAUUUCUAAUAUAUGUAAUAUACUAUUAUUACCAACUACAUUAAUAAUAAAAUGUCUUUUUACAGCUUUUUCCAAUUGUCAAAGUCUUAAAAAAUUAGUUAUUUUAUGAUUUUGAGGCAUUAUUUUGUGAAGCCAUGUAAAAAAUUGUAAAAUUAUCUUUUACGAUUUAAUGUUGUACUCGAAUAACUUUCAAGCAAGUUAAUUUUGGUGCUCGUGAUUUGUAUAUACACACAUACAAAGGCUUCUUCUAGUAGGUUAUAAUUAUUAACUGAAAGUCAAUAUUAGUUUUUUGUGAAAUAAAUUUCUAAAGUAACGCCAAGAAAGUGUUUUGUAAACAUAUUUACCUAAAAGAUGAAAUUACUAGAUAUUAAGAGUUGUUCCAAUAGUUUUCAAUAAUAAUAUUGAAAUAAAGAAAUAUAUAAUUCAUAUUAUUUUAACUAAGCUUUAAGAUAAUAAAAAUUUCUAAUAUAUGUAAUAUACUAUUAUUACCAACUACAUUAAUAAUAAAAUGUCUUUUUACAGCUUUUUCCAAUUGUCAAAG